ACGGAAGGCAGCAGUGGGGAAUAUUGCACAAUGGGGAAAACCCUGAUGCAGCGACGCCGCGUGAGUGAAGAAGUAUUUCGGUAUGUAAAGCUCUAUCAGCAGGGAAGAUAAUGACGGUACCUGACUAAGAAGCCCCGGCUAACUACGUGCCAGCAGCCGCGGUAAUACGUAGGGGGCAAGCGUUAUCCGGAUUUACUGGGUGUAAAGGGAGCGUAGGUGGUUUGGCAAGUCAGAAGUGAAAGCCAGGGGCUCAACCCCUGGAUUGCUUUUGAAACUGUCAGACUAGAGUACUGGAGAGGUAAGCGGAAUUCCUAGUGUAGCGGUGAAAUGCGUAGAUAUUAGGAGGAACACCAGUGGCGAAGGCGGCUUACUGGACAGCAACUGACACUGAGGCUCGAAAGCGUGGGGAGCAAACAGGAUUAGAUACCCUGGUA
rnacentral:rRNA from 1 species